UCUUUAAUUGCGCUUACUGCGAGCCAACACCUGCUCAAAUAGUGGACGAUUUGCUGCGAGCACUGCGCAGACAUUGCCAUCGCCAUCAUGGCGCCCGGCGUGUUUGGAGUUCGGAUAGAUCAGACUCUUCGUUGGCCUCGUUUUUAGGUGUUUGAUCCGUGACGUUUCGUCGAAAAAUCACAAGCGCGCAUGCCGUAGGUGUUUGCCUGGUUGCAAGAUCUUGCCGAUUUCAACGUUUUCCCACCUCUUCGGUUGGCGUACGCUGAACUGGACCCUCGCAGCAAGAAUGGCACGUGGGAAUUGACACCGCGAUCGUGGAACACAUGGCUGAUCUGCCUCGAAUAACUGCAAGCCGGCGCGUGCGUAGUGCCGUGGAGAACGAUCAGAAGUCCUGGACGACAAAGAAAAAAACUUCAAAGGUUUGUUGUACAUGUUUUCCACGGCAACUGACAUAAACGUAAAAAAAAUUGGAAUGGUCAAAUGCAUGUGUCAAGUUUAACCAUUUGUAGUGGGCUGUGGACAUGAAUUAAGCAUUGCUGCACACAAGACUGGCUUGCCCUCAGUUUAUGCCCAGUACCAAAUUUUUUGCUCUCAUUAUGACACCAUUUGUAAGAAAAACCAGAACUUAUGUUCAAAACAGCGCAUAUUCUUGCUAUUCUUUUAUUCAAUUGCACGUGUGAGUCCUGCUGCUGGCCAUCAGUUAGCCGGUUAUCAGAAGAAAAGGGCACAGCCCAGUUUUGUACUGGUAUAUACCGUAUCGUUUGUGAUUAUGAUCAUGAUUUUUGUCUUACUGAAACAAGAAACUGAAAAAUAUAUGUUGGUGUUUCUGCUACAUCUCUAUGAAGCAGCAGAACCUGUUGCUCAGUCGCUUGGUGCAUAUUAGCAACUGGCACCUUGUCUGGCUUCCCGAUACCUCCGCCUUUUUUCAGUGCAUGUUGUUUUCAUCCUUUACCAGCAGUCAAGUAGUUUCACACAACCGAAAUGACCAACCAGCCCACUCUCUUUGUCAAGUAGGUUUUACUUCCAAACAAAUGUAGCACAUUUGUGAUAUGCACUGUUGCUCAAUGAUAUUCUUUUUGCAUGUGCUAGCUGUGUACACAUAUUACAUGAUCUUUUUUCUUUUUUUUCAGCUGCUUCUAGUAGUGGUGCCCCUGGUGUGCACCUUUACCCCAAAUGUCUGCACCUUUGCCUACCGGUAAUGACAUAGAAUGUGCUCAGCUUCCUGGACAUAGGCAUGCAGGUUACGAGACGGAAAACGUGCAGCUUAGACUUCAUGCUUGUAAAUGCGAAAGUCGUAACCGACAUAAUUAGAGUAAGCUAAAAGGAGAAAUUUCUGCUUAUGAGCAAGUAAUUAUGAAGCAGGUUUUACUCCUCUUAAACUAGCAGACAUGCAACAACACAGUUGUGCUAUGUUUGUUUUGUGCGCCACUUUCAUGCAUAUUUGUGCUUGCAGUGGAUAUGCAUAUGCAUGAAGGAUUUGUUUUUGUU